ACGAACGCUGGCGGCGUGCUUAACACAUGCAAGUCGCACGGAAAGGCCCUGCUUUUGUGGGGUGCUCGCGUGGCGAACGGGUGAGUAACACGUGAGUAACCUGCCCUUGACUUUGGGAUAACUUCAGGAAACUGGGGCUAAUACCGGAUAGGAGCUCCUGCUGCAUGGUGGGGGUUGGAAAGUUUCGGCGGUUGGGGAUGGACUCGCGGCUUAUCAGCUUGUUGGUGGGGUAGUGGCUUACCAAGGCUUUGACGGGUAGCCGGCCUGAGACGGUGACCGGCCACAUUGGGACUGAGAUACGGCCCAGACUCCUACGGGAGGCAGCAGUGGGGAAUAUUGCACAAUGGGCGGAAGCCUGAUGCAGCAACGCCGCGUGCGGGAUGACGGCCUUCGGGUUGUAAACCGCUUUCGCCUGUGACGAAGCGUGAGUGACGGUAAUGGGUAAAGAAGCACCGGCUAACUACGUG
rnacentral:rRNA from 1 species